UACGUAGGGUGCAAGCGUUAAUCGGAAUUACUGGGCGUAAAGCGUGCGCAGGCGGUUUUGUAAGUCUGUCGUGAAAUCCCCGGGCUCAACCUGGGAAUUGCGAUGGAGACUGCAAGGCUAGAAUCUGGCAGAGGGGGGUAGAAUUCCAGGUGUAGCGGUGAAAUGCGUAGAUAUCUGGAGGAACACCGGUGGCGAAGGCGGCAUCCUGGACCAUUACUGACACUGAAAAGCGAAAGCCAAGGGGAGCAAACGGG
rnacentral:rRNA from 1 species